UUCAUACAAUAACAGUUUGCAAUCAAAACAACAUUGCACAUAAGUUUUCUAUAUUUUUAUUAAAUAUAGACAUUUAAUGCAACGAUUUCCUUGGAAUUGGAAUUAUUGUCAAGAAACCUUGUACGUCCAAGAGUUUGCACAAUCUUUUAAUGUACCCUCAUUUUUAGAUUUAUUUAUGAUCGAGACAACAAGUAUAAAUUAUGUGUUUUCUAAAAAAUGAAAUUGUCUCCAUGAUCGCAUUGGAAUUAUUGUCAAGAUUUAUAUAUGAUCGGGACAAGUAUAAAUUAUGUGUUUUCUAAAAAAUGAAAUUGACUCCAUGAUUGCAUUGGAAUUAUUGUCAAGAUUUAUUUAUGAUCGGGACAAGUAUAAAUUAUGUGUUUUCUAAAAAAUGAAAUUGUCUCCAUGAUCACAUUGGAAUUAUUGUCAAGAGGACCAUCUUGACUUUGGUGAACUAUUUUUUUCUGAAAAACCAUAUUGCAUGGACCAUCCCACGUCACUGUCACCAAAAUAUAAAAUGCUAAUGUGAAAUAAAUAGAUAAUGUGAAGAUGAACGGCAUCUAUCCAGAUAUAAAAAA